UACAGAGGUCUCAAGCGUUGUUCGGAUUGCAUUGGGCGUAAAGGGCUCGUAGGCGGUUUGUCGCGUCGGGAGUGAAAUCCACUGGCUUAACUGGUGGCUUGCUUUCGAUACGGGCAGACUGGAGGUAUGCAGGGGAGAACGGAAUUCCUGGUGUAGCGGUGAAAUGCGCAGAUAUCAGGAGGAACACCGGUGGCGAAGGCGGUUCUCUGGGCAUGUCCUGACGCUGAGGAGCGAAAGUGUGGGGAGCGAACAGG
rnacentral:rRNA from 1 species